CGUUCAUUUCUUGAUUACGGUUAUUAUAUAUAUAGAUUAUUUUAUUAAAUUCAAAAUUAUUAGUAAGUUAGAAUUAAUAAGUAUUUUUAAUAUUAAUAAUAAAUAUCAGGGAUGUGAACCCGGACCCUAAACCCUCCUGGACCAUCGUAUUUUGGCGGAACCCGGACCCGGACCCUUUUAAAAAGUAGAGGGUCCAAGGGUUCAGGGUGUUAAAAUAUUUUUUUUUUAAAAUUAAUGCAAAAAUAUAAUUUUUAAAAAAUAAUAUAAAAUUUUAUUAAUUUUUUUCGUGGAAUCAUUUAUUUUAUUUUCGCGUUUUUCUUCCUGGACUUCAUUUCAUUUUAUUUAGAUAUUGAUACCAUACAUUAUUUUAUAGUAAAUACUUUGACUAUUUUGAUUUGAAAGUGAAAUAUUUGGAAUUAUUUUGUACUGCAAUAUGAAACUAAAAGAUAUUUUGUUACUAUAAUGCAACUAAAGGGGAUUCUGAGUGCAAAACCUGCCACCUAAUGAUAAAAGGUUCACACAAUACUAACCUGGAAAGACAUUUAAAAAACAUCAUUCUAUAAUCUUUGAGGAAUAUUUAAAUAUAAAAACCAAAUUUUUGGAAGAAGACAUUGUUACAAAGUCUACUGUCAGUAUUGUAAAGAAGGAUGAAAAUAAUAUUGAAAAAUUUUGCCUUAAAAAAAGCAUUCAUUCAAAUGUCUGAGGAGAAUUUGAUAAAUGCUUUAGUUGAGCUUGUUACAAUAAAUGGAAGGCCUUUCAAUAUUAUUGAGGAUUUUGGUUUAAAAAAAAUUAUUGAUCCUCUUAGUAAGGCAAUUGGAACAUCAAUUAACCGUUUUAAAAUUAAGGACUUAAUGGUUAAUGAAUCGAAAAAAAUACAAGCAAAAAUAAUAAAAGAAACAAAAAACAAAUUAAUUUCAAUUAAAAAUUGAUUCCGCCCAAAGAUUAGGGAGAAAUAUUCUAGGAAUAAAUAUACAGUAUAUUAAAGGAAAUAAUAUAAUAAGAAAUUUAGCUAUGAAGGAGAUUAAAGAGAGUUCAACUUCUGAAAAUAUAAUAUUAGAAACAUUAAAUAAAUUUCAUAUUCCUAUAAGAAACGUUUAUAAUUACUACGGAUAAUGGUGCCAAUCUAGUAAAAUCAAUCAAAUUAUUAAAUGAAUGUUCACUGGAAGAAAUUGAUGAUAUAGAUGAUGAUGAUGAUAAUUAUGAGGAAAUAAGUGAAAUUGAUUUGCAGGAAAUAACAAAAGAUUUCUCCACAAAAAUAUACUGUUUCAGAUGUGCAGCCCAUACGCUACAAUUGGCUGUUAAUGAUUCCCUAAAAAAUAGUCACUUUAAAACUAUAAUUGAUAAAGCAAGAGAUGUUGUAAAAUAUUUAAGAACCCACAAUUGUUAGAAUAUUAAAAUCCAUGAAAAGGCAAAUUACAAUUUUAGAUUGCACAACACGUAUGUCCUCUAUAUGUAUGAUGCUAGAGCGAUUAUUAAGUUUGAAAGAUUUCUGUAAUGAUUUUAUCAUAGGAGCAUGUGAAAUCAUUUUGUCAGAAGAUGAUUGGAAUCAAGUAAAAGAGCUUACUAGUGUGCUGGUUCCUUUAAAAAUAACAACAUUAAGAUUGCAAGCAGUACAAUUAUGUUUAUCGGAUUUUUAUGGCAUAUGGUUAAGAUGUCGAUUAGAGUUAGGGAGAUUAACAAGUUCUUUUUCAAGAAGUAUUAGAAAAUAUGAAAAUAAGAGAGCAACAAUAUUUACAAAAUAGUGUUGUAUAUGCUUCGAUAUUUUUAGACCCGCGAUAUCAGGUUUUAUUAAGUAGUGAGCAAAAACAAAUGGCUAUAGACCAUCUUGAAGAUUUAUGGCAUACCCAAAACUCUAUUAUUUACAAUAUAUUGGAGGCUACAACAAUAUCUACUGGUUGUAGCGAUAACAAUGAUAAUGAUAACGAUAUUGAUGAUCUGGAAAUUUUACUAUUAGAUAGAGAAAAAAAAAUUAAAUUAUCAUUGAUAGAAAGGAGCAAAAAAUAUCUAUUGUAUCUUUAAUAGAAAAUUUCUCGGAAGUUAAAAGAAUAAAUAGAGAUGCAAACAUUUUUAAAUUCUGGGAGGAAAAUUCUUCAAUAUAUCCAGAAUUACAUACCUUGUCUAGAAUCGUCAUGGCUGUACCGGCGACACAAGUAAGCGUAGAACGUGGAUUUUCAUCGUUGAAAUAUAUUUUAUCUAAUUUACGUGGAAAUCUGAAGGAUGAUAUUUUAGAAGAUAUCAUGAUUGUGCGAUUGGAU